UUUCAUCCCCAUACGAUCAAAUGGAUCCAUAAUGGAUUCCUGGGACAUUUUCAGAUCUCCUUCCAGCUUCCUCUUCGCCCUUUCCAAGUCCGCCCGCAGUUUCUUCUCCUGCUCUAAGGAACCCUCAAGCUGAGAAGACACACAGAUGGAGUCUCGCUGCGAUGCCCAGGCUGGAGUGCAAUGGUGCAAUCUUGGCUCACUGCAACCUUCGUUUCCCAGGUUUAAGCAAUUCUCCUGCCUCAGCCUCCCAAGUAUCUGGGACUACAGGCGAGCGUCACCAUGCCUGGCUAAUUUUUGUAUUUUUAGUAGAGAUGUUUAGUAGAGAGUUUCACCAUAUUGGCCAGGCUGGUCUUGAACUCCUGACCUCAAGGGAUCCGCCCACCUUGGCCUCUCAAAGUGCUGGGAUUACAGGCGUGAGCCACCGUGCCUGGCAAUGUUUGUAGUUUCUUUCAUGAAUUUACCUCCUUUUAUUCUUUAAUCCCUGCUUAUCUCUAAAGAGUAAGUAACUGAAAGUAAUAAAACGGAAUUUUCUCAACAAUAUUUUAUAAGUUGAUUUCUUUUUCUUUCCUACAGGAAACAACCCAAUUUGCCAUCUUAAUUUGGAGUCUACUUUUUCUGAAUGACUCAGUUUUCUCUGAUACUUAAUCAAGAUGCAGCCUUGGGGGAAAAUGUCAUGUCCCAGUCUCCCCCAUGUUCCUUUCCCUUCAUCCCACUUUGUCCCCGGGGUCUAGCAUGACUGUGUGUUUGGAUUGGGGAAGUGAAGGCAGGAAAGUCGCUUCCCCAAAUCCGCAUCCACACAGGGUCUUAUGUUAGAGUUGAUGUUAUCUCUAGGCGAGGUUAUGCAAUGUAGUUACAGAGACAUUGUGAUUAGAUUCAAAGAAAAUGAUUUUCAUCAUUGAAGUUUACGCAUGUGCCCAUUUCCUAUUUAUUACAUUCCCUGGCCCAGAGGACAUUAGGCUUUCAUUUUUAAAAAAUGAUCUCAUUAUCUAAUGAAUAAUUAUAUUUCAUAUAUUUUAUUAAUUUAUUAAAUGUAUGCAUUUAAAAUGGCAUAUAAUGUUAAAACUCUAUGUUGGCUACUAUUUAAAAGUAUAUUUACUGGUAAUCU
rnacentral:lncRNA from 10 species